UACGGAGGGUGCGAGCGUUGUCCGGAAUCACUGGGCGUAAAGGGCGCGUAGGUGGCCUGUGGAAGUCUGCGGUGAAAGCCCGGCGCUCAACGCCGGGUCGGCCGUGGAUACUCUCGGGCUUGAGCUUACUAGAGGCAGAUGGAAUUCCGGGUGUAGCGGUGGAAUGCGUAGAGAUCCGGAAGAACACCGGUGGCGAAGGCGGCCUGCUGGGCUAUGGCUGACACUGAGGCGCGACAGCGUGGGGAGCAAACAGG
rnacentral:rRNA from 1 species